CUGAGGCCGACAGGCGUAGGCGAUGGAUAACAGGUUGAUAUUCCUGUACCACCUAGUAUCGUUUUAAUCGAUGGGGGGACGCAGUAGGAUAGGCGAAGCGUGCUGUUGGAGUGCACGUCCAAGCAGUAAGGCUGAGUGUUAGGCAAAUCCGGCACUCAUAAGGCUGAGCUGUGAUGGGGAGAGGAAAUUGUUUCCUCGAGUCGUUGAUUUCACACUGCCGAGAAAAGCCUCUAGAUAGAUAACAGGUGCCCGUACCGCAAACCGACACAGGUAGUCAAGAUGAGAAUUCUAAGGUGAGCGAGCGAACUCUCGUUAAGGAACUCGGCAAAAUGACCCCGUAACUUCGGGAGAAGGGGUGCUCUUUAGGGUUCACGCCCAGAAGAGCCGCAGUGAAUAGGCCCAAGCGACUGUUUAUCAAAAACACAGGUCUCUGCUAAACCGUAAGGUGAUGUAUAGGGGCUGACGCCUGCCCGGUGCUGGAAGGUUAAGAGGAGUGGUUAGCUUCUGCGAAGCUACGAAUCGAAGCCCCAGUAAACGGCGGCCGUAACUAUAACGGUCCUAAGGUAGCGAAAUUCCUUGUCGGGUAAGUUCCGACCCGCACGAAAGGCGUAACGAUUUGGGCACUGUCUCAACGAGAGACUCGGUGAAAUCAUAGUACCUGUGAAGAUGCAGGUUACCCGCGACAGGACGGAAAGACCCCGUGGAGCUUUACUGUAGCCUGAUAUUGAAAUUCGGCACAGCUUGUACAGGAUAGGUAGGAGCCUUUGAAACGUGAGCGCUAGCUUACGUGGAGGCGUUGGUGGGAUACUACCCUAGCUGUGUUGGCUUUCUAACCCGCACCACUUAUCGUGGUGGGAGACAGUGUCAGGCGGGCAGUUUGACUGGGGCGGUCGCCUCCUAAAAGGUAACGGAGGCGCUCAAAGGUUCCCUCAGAAUGGUUGGAAAUCAUUCAUAGAGUGUAAAGGCAUAAGGGAGCUUGACUGCGAGACCUACAAGUCGAGCAGGGUCGAAAGACGGACUUAGUGAUCCGGUGGUUCCGCAUGGAAGGGCCAUCGCUCAACGGAUAAAAGCUACCCCGGGGAUAACAGGCUUAUCUCCCCCAAGAGUUCACAUCGACGGGGAGGUUUGGCACCUCGAUGUCGGCUCAUCGCAUCCUGGGGCUGUAGUCGGUCCCAAGGGUUGGGCUGUUCGCCCAUUAAAGCGGUACGCGAGCUGGGUUCAGAACGUCGUGAGACAGUUCGGUCCCUAUCCGUCGUGGGCGUAGGAAAUUUGAGAGGAGCUGUCCUUAGUACGAGAGGACCGGGAUGGACAUACCUCUGGUGUACCAGUUGUCGUGCCAACGGCAUAGCUGGGUAGCUAUGUAUGGACGGGAUAAGUGCUGAAAGCAUCUAAGCAUGAAGCCCCCCUCAAGAUGAGAUUUCCCAACUUCGGUUAUAAGAUCCCUCGAAGAUGACGAGGUUAAUAGGUUCGAGGUGGAAGCGUGGUGACACGUGGAGCUGACGAAUACUAAUCGAUCGAAGACUUAAUC
rnacentral:rRNA from 1 species